rnacentral:rRNA from 1 species
AAUGAACGCUGGCGGCGUGCCUAACACAUGCAAGUCGUACGAGAAAGGGGCUUCGGCCCUGAGUAGAGUGGCGCACGGGUGAGUAACGCGUGGGUAAUCUGCCCUUGGAUUUGGGAUAACUCUGCGAAAGUGGAGCUAAUACCGGAUAGUCUGGCUUUAAUUGAUAAGUCGGUAGAGGAUGCCUCUGCAUAUGCAUUCGUCCAAGGAUGAUCCCGCGUCUCAUUAGCUAGUUGGUAGGGUAAUGGCCUACCAAAGCAACGAUGAGGAGCUGGUCUGAGAGGAUGAUCAGCCACAAUGGAACUGAAACACGGUCCAGACUCCUACGGGAGGCAGCAGUGGGGAAUAUUGCGCAAUGGGCGAAAGCCUGACGCAGCAACGCCGUGUGAGGGAUGAAGGCUUUCGGGUCGUAAACCUCUGUCGGAAGGGAAGAACGGGUGAGGGUCUAAUAGGCCUUCAUUUUGACGGUACCUUUAGAGGAAGCCCCGGCUAACUCCGUGCCAGCAGCCGCAGUAAUAC